CAGCCGCCGCGGUAAUACAGAGGGUGCGAGCGUUAAUCGGAUUUACUGGGCGUAAAGCGUGCGCAGGCGGUUCGUUAAGACAGAUGUGAAAUCCCCGGGCUUAACCUGGGAACUGCAUUUGUGACUGACGGGCUAGAGUAUGGCAGAGGGGGGUAGAAUUCCACGUGUAGCAGUGAAAUGCGUAGAGAUGUGGAGGAAUACCGAUGGCGAAGGCAGCCCCCUGGGCCAAUACUGACGCUCAUGCACGAAAGCGUGGGGAGCAAACAGGAUUAGAUACCCCGGUAGUCCCUGUCUCUUAUAC
rnacentral:rRNA from 1 species